rnacentral:rRNA from 1 species
GCCAGCGGGGAUAGCACGUUGAAAGCACCAACCUCCCCAUGGCUCACUGAAGUUAAUGAACGUUGCGCGUGGUUGGUAAGUUGAUAUUGGGAUGGGUGAAUAUCUGGACAAUCGUGUAUUGCUGGCU